AGCUUUAAGAGCACUUCAAGUACAGGACAGAUAUCGCAUAAUAUUAUAUUUGUAUGAAUGAGUGUCAAACACAGCAUGGAGACACUUCCGCAUUGACGGGGACCCAUGAGAACCAAACGCGUUUCGUAAAAGCCGCUAUCUCGAGAUUUACGUCAGAGUCCAGCAUCCAUACUGAACAGACUCUAAAGUUCAGCCUGUGAGCAACCUCAGUUUGUGUUUGCUUUUUAGAUGAGGAUGCUUUCAGAACCAACCAAAGCUGUGGAGAAACUCACAGUAAAUGGAUAAAGGAGGUCUGAGACUGCAGCCCUGCAUUAGAUUCAUUGCAGUAAUUAAAUGAAAGCAGGCAGAUAUGGAUGAUAAAUGGCAGUUAUUGACGGGACUGUCAGGUAUGGCGUGGGUGUCAGAUAUUUUUAAACAGCGACGUUGAGGCCUGGCAAAGGCUUGCGUUUCCAGAGGCUGCCGUGAGCUCAACCUCCUGCAGCUGUUUCUGUCUGGCCUAAUUAAACUCUGCAACGACUGAUCUCAUUAAAUUCAAACCAUACAGAAGACAGAACAGAAUCUGACCAUUAAUAUCCAGAGGCUUGAGCUAUUAUGUAAUCAGCUGGAAAAUGUUAUUGUUUCAAUUGUAGAAGUAUAAAGUAUUGUGAGAAACUCUAAUUAAUGUAAUCAGCAUUUGCCAUGUUGUCGGCACAGACAGAUGUAUAUACAUACAUAAUAUAAUCAUGAUUUUACCAGCAUAAAAUCUGCACGUGAAUGGAAUUAUGAGUAAGGAUGUAUUAUAUACCACAAAAUUGUACUCUAUUUAUUUUUGUCCUGUGCAUCUAUACAAAAUAGGUAAUUUAUGAUUAUAUCAGUAUUAUUUUAGCAUCAUUGAUAUACUCUAA